rnacentral:tRNA from 1 species
GAGGAUAUAGCUCAGUGGUAGAGCGCAUGCUUAGCAUGCAUGAGGUCCUGGGUUCAAGUCCCUGUACUUCCA